UGCUCCUUAAAAACAAACCCUCUGGGGGCCUGUGUUUUUUCUUGGGAAAUCUGCCUGCCCCCAGGAGCUCUGACAGCGUGCUGCCGUGCCACGCAGGGACCCGACCACCUGGUGGAAGACCAGAAGCAGCUAGGGACAGUGCAGCAGCUCGCGCUUGAACAAGAAGGUCUCUAGUUUUACACCUAGCAAGAUCCUGAGUACCCUAGAGCUACAGCUCCCACUUCUUCAGAUGUUCGGGAAAGUGCCCGGGCCCUCCUGUGGUGACCCCCUGCAGACAGCGCAGCCCCCCCAGCUCUCACACCAGGGGGAAGCUGGAGCAUUUGCUGGCAGCCCAG